rnacentral:rRNA from 1 species
CAACUUUUAACAACGGAUCUCUUGGUUCUCGCAUCGAUGAAGAACGUAGCAAAGUGCGAUAACUAGUGUGAAUUGCAUAUUCAGUGAAUCAUCGAGUCUUUGAACGCAUCUUGCACUCACUGGUAUUCCAGUGAGUACGCCUGUUUCAGUAUC